UGAUCGAGGCCCAGCCCGUGGACGGUGU
rnacentral:piRNA from 5 species